GACGAACCGUGCGAACGUUAUUCGGAAUCACUGGGCUUAAAGCGCGUGUAGGCGGGAGGGCACGUCCGUCGCUGAAAUCCCCCGGCUCAACCGGGGAACGGGCGCGGAUACGACCUUCCUGGAGGGGCGUAGGGGGACCUGGAACUUCCGGUGGAGCGGUGAAAUGCGCAGAUAUCAGGAGGAACACCAAUGGCGAAGGCAGCUCGCUGGGACGGUACUGACGCUGGAGGCGCGAAAGCGUGGGGAGCAAACAGG
rnacentral:rRNA from 1 species